ensembl:lncRNA
CGGAAGGUUCUGCACCUGGAGCAGGGCGGGGCUGCCACAAUCCCAUUUUCCCAUGGGACAUCCCAUUUUUUUCCCAUUUUUUCCCAUUUUUUUCCAUUUUUUCCCUGUUUUUUCCCAUUUUUUCCCAUUUUUUUCCCAUUUUCCAGACGGUUUCCGGAAGGUUCUGCACCUGGAGCAGGGCGGGGCUGCCACAAUCCCAUUUUCCCAUGGAAAAUCCCAUUUUUGUCCCAUUUUUUCCCCAUUUUUCCCCAUUUUUUCUCCAUUUUUCCCAUUUUUUCCCCGUUUUUUCCCAUUUCUCCCAUUUUUUUCCCAUUUUUUUCCCGUUUUCCAGACGGUUUCCAGAAGGUUCUGCACCUGGAGCAGGGCGGGGCUGCCACAAUCCCAUUUUCCCAUGGAAAAUCCCUUUUUUGUCCCAUUUUUUACCCAUUUUUUCCCCGUUUUUUCCCAUUUUUUCCCCAUUUUUCCCAUUUUUUCCCCAUUUUUCCCAUUUUUUCCCCGUUUUUUCCCAUUUUUCUCCCAUUUUCCCCCAUUUUCCAGACGGUUUCCGGAAGGUUCUGCACCUGGAGCAGGGCGGGGCUGCCACAAUCCCAUUUUCCCAUGGAAAAUCCCAUUUUUUCCCAUUUUUUUACCGUUUUCCCCAUUUUUUCCCCAUUUUUUCCAUUUUUCCCAUUUUUCUCCCAUUUUCCCCCAUUUUUCCAGACGGCUUCCGGAAGGUUCUGCACCUGGAGCAGGGCAGGGCUGCCACAAUCCCAUUUUCCCAUGGGACAUCCCAUUUUUUUCCCAUUUUUUCCCAUUUUUUUCCAUUUUUUCCCUGUUUUUUCCCAUUUUUUCCCAUUUUUUUCCCAUUUUCCAGACGGUUUCCGGAAGGUUCUGCACCUGGAGCAGGGCGGGGCUGCCACAAUCCCAUUUUCCCAUGGAAAAUCCCAUUUUUUCCCAUUUUUUUACCGUUUUUCCCAUUUUUUCCCCAUUUUUUCCAUUUUUCCCAUUUUUCUCCCAUUUUCCCCCAUUUUCCAGACGGCUUCCGGAAGGUUCUGCACCUGGAGCAGGGCGGGCUGGUGAAGCCGGACAAGGACGACACGGAAUUCCAGCACCCCUUCUUCGUGCGCGGCCAGGAGCGGCUCCUGGAGAACAUCAAACGCAAAGUCACCGGGGUCAGUCCCGCCCCAAAAUCCCCGGAAUUCACCCCAAAAAUGGGAAAAACCCUCUGGGGAAAAUCGGGACAAAAUUCCCCCCAAAAAUAAAAAGAAAAUUAAAAAAAAAUUGGAAAAAAAUCGGAAA